rfam:Schistosoma haematobium scaffold1079_11, whole genome shotgun sequence.
AUUCAGCUGAUGAAUCCAGUAUAGGACGAAACGUGCGUCCAGCAU